rnacentral:rRNA from 1 species
CGUUUUAGUGGCGGACGGGUGAGUAACGCGUGGGUAACCUGCCUUACACAGGGGGAUAACACCUGGAAACAGGUGCUAAUACCGCAUAAGCGCACAGGGCCGCAUGGCCCGGUGUGAAAAACUCCGGUGGUGUAAGAUGGACCCGCGUCUGAUUAGCUUGUUGGCGGGGUAGAGGCCCACCAAGGCGACGAUCAGUAGCCGGCCUGAGAGGGUGGACGGCCACAUUGGGACUGAGACACGGCCCAAACUCCUACGGAAGGCAGCAG